GGCCUCGUGGCCCAAUGGCAAGGCGUCUGACUACGAGAAAGAUUCAACAAGAGCUUGGGUCCUUCAAAGCAAUCAGGAGAUUCUGGGUUCGACCCCCAGCGAGGUCA